CUCGGCGCGCCCGGGUCCACGCGAGCGAAACGUCACGCCGCGCGCCACUGGCCCCUGCGGGGCGGGGCGGGGCCGCCCGUCAGAUCCUGGCGUGGGCGGCGCCGUUCCAGGGCCUGAAGGACAUUGGACAAAGGCGGUCGUGCUGGUUGGGGCGCCGCCUCCCUUCCCGGGACUCCAACCAUUUCCGAAAAUGGAGGGGUGAGGACACUUUGCUUCCCCAGGGAACCGGAAAGGAGGGAUUAUGAAGAAGUGGGCAGACUCCCACCGAGCCGGGCUCAGCGUUCCCCGCAGGAAGCUGCAGCGAGCUCCGGGGGUAUUCUGCCUCUUUGGAGGGAGGCUAAGACCUUCAGCCACUGGAGACAUACGCCAACACGAAGGAGAGCUUGCAGCAAUCAUCCUGGCUGAAUGACCAGAUUAAAACCGAAAAUAAUCCUUUUGGGGGCGCUGUUCCCGGAACAAUCUCAGAAAAAUGUACAAAUCCAUACAUCUUGUGUACAACACAGGGAGGUUAUGAACCUCAGUUAAGAAACCCUGGUUUCUCCUCUUCUCCCUUGUGAUAUGGCUUAACCUUUUGCACUGGGAUGUCGAGUGUGACUCGACACGGUUAGCAUUAGAAUAAAGGAAUCGAGAAAAAAGCAAGCGA